rnacentral:rRNA from 1 species
GAUGAACGCUGGCGGCGUGCCUAAUACAUGCAAGUCGAGCGAACGGACGAGAAGCUUGCUUCUCUGAUGUUAGCGGCGGACGGGUGAGUAACACGUGGAUAACCUACCUAUAAGACUGGGAUAACUUCGGGAAACCGGAGCUAAUACCGGAUGAUAUUUUGAACCGCAUGGUUCAAAAGUGAAAGACGGUCUUGCUGUCACUUAUAGAUGGAUCCGCGCUGCAUUAGCUAGUUGGUAAGGUAACGGCUUACCAAGGCAACGAUGCAUAGCCGACCUGAGAGGGGGUUCGGCCACCCGGAACCUGAGACCGGGGCCGAACCCCUAGGGAGGGCGGAAUGAGGGAAUUUUGCCAAAUGGGGGAAAGCCGGACGGAGCACCCCCGGGUGGGGGAUGAAGGUUUUGGGUUGUAAAACCCUUUUUUUUGGGAAAAAAAAAAUGGGGAAGAAACUGGGCACCUCUUGCCGUUACCUAAAAAAAAACCCCCGGUUAAUUCCGG